rnacentral:rRNA from 1 species
UACGUAGGGUGCGAGCGUUGUCCGGAAUUAUUGGGCGUAAAGAGCUUGUAGGCGGUUUGUCGCGUCUGCUGUGAAAAUCCGGGGCUCAACCCCGGACUUGCAGUGGGUACGGGCAGACUAGAGUGUGGUAGGGGAGACUGGAAUUCCUGGUGUAGCGGUGAAAUGCGCAGAUAUCAGGAGGAACACCGGUGGCGAAGGCGGUUCUCUGGGCCUGUACUGACGCUGAGGAACGAAAGCGUGGGGAGCGAACAGG